GGCAACAGGGGUGCUUAUUGAUGAGCUGAGAGGAAGUACGUGUAUUUCUAACCCUUUGAACCUGAUUCUGGGUAAUUCCAGCGAAGGGAGUUGACGU
rnacentral:ncRNA from 1 species